rnacentral:rRNA from 1 species
AGUGAACGCUGGCGGUAGGCCUAACACAUGCAAGUCGAACGGCAGCACAGUAAGAGCUUGCUCUUACGGGUGGCGAGUGGCGGACGGGUGAGGAAUACCGAAUCUACUUUUUCGUGGGGGAUAACGUAGGGAAACUUACGCUAAUACCGCAUACGACCUACGGGUGAAAGCAGGGGAUCUUCGGACCUUGCGCGAUUGAAUGAGCCGAUGUCGGAUUAGCUAGUUGGCGGGGUAAAGGCCCACCAAGGCGACGAUCCGUAGCUGGUCUGAGAGGAUGAUCAGCCACACUGGAACUGAGACACGGUCCAGACUCCUACGGGAGGCAGCAGUGGGGAAUAUUGGACAAUGGGCGCAAGCCUGAUCCAGCCAUACCGCGUGGGUGAAGAAGGCCUUCGGGUUGUAAAGCCCUUUUGUUGGGAAAGAAAAGCAGCAGGUUAAUACCCCGCUGUUCUGACGGUACCCAAAGAAUAAGCACCGGCUAACUUCGUG